rnacentral:rRNA from 1 species
GACGAACGCUGGCGGCGUGCUUAACACAUGCCAGUCGAACGGAAAGGCCCUGCUUUUGUGGGGUGCUCGAGUGGCGAACGGGUGAGUAACACGUGAGUAACCUGCCCUUGACUUUGGGAUAACUUCAGGAAACUGGGGCUAAUACCGGAUAGGAGCUCCUGCUGCAUGGUGGGGGUUGGAAAGUUUCGGCGGUUGGGGAUGGACUCGCGGCUUAUCAGCUUGUUGGUGGGGUAGUGGCUUACCAAGGCUUUGACGGGUAGCCGGCCUGAGAGGGUGACCGGCCACAUUGGGACUGAGAUACGGCCCAGACUCCUACGGGAGGCAGCAGUGGGGAAUAUUGCACAAUGGGCGGAAGCCUGAUGCAGCAACGCCGCGUGCGGGAUGACGGCCUUCGGGUUGUAAACCGCUUUCGCCUGUGACGAAGCGUGAGUGACGGUAAUGGGUAAAGAAGCUCCGGCUAACUACGUG